GGCCUGGUAGCUCAGUGGUUAGAGCACCUGGUGCAGUUCCAGAAUGUCCUGGGUUCAAACCCUAGCCUAGCCA